rnacentral:rRNA from 1 species
AGAGUUUGAUCCUGGCUCAGGAUGAACGCUAGCGGCAGGCCUAAUACAUGCAAGUCGGACGGGAUUGGGUAGCUUGCUAUCCAUGAGAGUGGCGCACGGGUGCGUAACACGUAUGUAACCUACCUUCGUCAGGGGGAUAGCCUCUCGAAAAGAGAGAUUAAGCCCGCAUAAAAUCACAUUGCAGCAUUGCAAAAUGAUCAAAUAUUUUUAUAGGACGAAGAUGGGCAUGCGGAACAUUAGCUAGUUGGUAAGGUAACGGCUUACCCAGGGCCUACCAAUGUUUAAGGGGAAUCUGAAAAAGAAUUAACCCCCCCACCACCUGGGUAACUGAGAACACGGGAACCAGAACUCCCUACGGGAAGGGCAGCAGUAAGGAAUAUGGGUCAAUGGGCGGAAGCCUGAACCAGCCAUGCCGCGAGCAGGAAGACGGCCCUACGGG